AUUGAACGCUGGCGGCAUGCCUAACACAUGCAAGUCGAACGGUAACGCGGGGGCAACCCUGGCGACGAGUGGCGGACGGGUGAGUAAUACGUAGGAAUCUGCCCAUUUGUGGGGGAUAACCCGGCGAAAGCCGGGCUAAUACCGCAUACGCUCUACGGAGGAAAGCAGGGGAUCGUAAGACCUUGCGCUAAUGGAUGAGCCUACGUCGGAUUAGCUAGUUGGUAGGGUAACGGCCUACCAAGGCGACGAUCCGUAGCUGGUCUGAGAGGACGAUCAGCCACACUGGGACUGAGACACGGCCCAGACUCCUACGGGAGGCAG
rnacentral:rRNA from 1 species